rnacentral:pre_miRNA from 1 species
GAGCUACUCCUUCCGUUCGGAAUUACUCGUCCAAUAAAUGAAUGUAUCUAGAUGUAUUUUAGUUGUAGAUACAUCCAUUUUUGUGACAAGUAAUUCCGAACGGAGGGAGUACAUA